rnacentral:rRNA from 1 species
UACAGAGGUCCCAAGCGUUGUUCGGAUUCACUGGGCGUAAAGGGUGCGUAGGUGGUCAGGUAAGUCGGAUGUGAAAUCUCCGAGCUCAACUCGGAAACUGCAUUGGAAACUACCUGGCUCGAGGGUUGGAGGGGGGACUGGAAUGCUUGGUGUAGCAGUGAAAUGCGUAGAUAUCGAGAGGAACACCAGUGGCGAAGGCGAGUCCCUGGACAGGUCCUGACGCUGAGGCACGAAAGCUAGGGGAGCAAACAGG